rnacentral:rRNA from 1 species
GCGCGCAAAUUACCCAAUCCUGACACGGGAAGGUAGUGACAAUAAAUAACAAUACCGGGCGCGUUAGUGUCUGGUAAUUGGAAUGAGUACAAUCUAAAUCCCUUAACGAGGAUCCAUUGGAGGCAAGUCUGGUACCAG